GCUAAGGGGUCCUCUGUCAGACCACAGCCUAGCCAUCAGAAGGCUUGUUCUCAUUUCCAUACAUGUCUGUCUGCGUGCAUGAGAAAGGUCCUCAUCAAGCUGCUGGGUCUCCCUCAACUUCUGAAACUCUCCCCGAGACUUGGCCUUCUCUCGCUCUUUGGUGAACUCCCUAGCAGGAAUGAAGUUCAGGCAGCCGUGGCAGGCAGACGUAGGCCUGUGGGAACUGAUGGAUGUUCAAGGGAUUGUCGUCCAAGCGGAUGUCCUCCAGGUUGUGACGGAUGAAGUUUCGGUCAUGGCGGUCACAGAAAGUGUCUUCAU